rnacentral:tRNA from 1 species
GCAGUGGUGGUUCAAUGGUAGAAUUCUUGCCUCCCAUGUGGGAGACCCGGGUUCAAAUUCCAGCCAACGCA